UGAGUUGGUGAUGUAAACUUUCUCGAUUUCUGUUCAAUCUUUAUUGCUCAAACUCAAAAUUUGGUAAGGCAUAAUCUCGUAAGGAGCAAAUAAAUGGCCACAGUAACAAUCUCCAAAGCAUUUUUGGUUUUUCACUUGGGACAGUUUGAUGGCUCCAAAGUCCACAGACAUGCUGAAAGCACAGUAGCAAACAUUUCAUUUGUGAUGAUUGCUCUGACUGAAAUUCAAAUAUCCAUAGGAAAUAAAAUAGAUCAUCUCAUUUACCUUGGUACUCAGUUGAACAAUUUUUUGUCUUCUCCCA
rnacentral:misc_RNA from 1 species